AUAAGGUUAAGUGAAUAAGGGCGCACGGUGGAUGCCUUGGCACUAGGAGCCGAUGAAGGACGGGACUAACACCGAUAUGCUUUGGGGAGCUGUACGUAAGCUAUGAUCCAGAGAUUUCCGAAUGGGGAAACCCAACAUCUUUUAUAGGAUGUUACGUUUGCGUGAAUACAUAGCGCAUUCGAGGUAGACGCAGAGAACUGAAACAUCUAAGUACCUGCAGGAAGAGAAAGAAAAUUCGAUUCCCUGAGUAGCGGCGAGCGAAACGGGAAAAGCCCAAACCAAUGAGCUUGCUCAUUGGGGUUGUAGGACUCCAAUAUGGUAGUUCUUUCAGAUAAUCGAAUGACUUGGAAAAGUCAGUCAAAGAGGGUAAAAACCCCGUAGAUGAAAUUUGGAAGGCACCUAGGAGGAUCCUGAGUACGGCGGAACACGAGGAAUUCCGUCGGAAUCCGGGAGGACCAUCUCCCAAGGCUAAAUACUCCCUAGUGACCGAUAGUGAACCAGUACCGUGAGGGAAAGGUGAAAAGCACCCCGGAAGGGGAGUGAAAUAGAACCUGAAACCGUGUGCCUACAACAAGUCAAAGCCCGUUAAUGGGUGAUGGCGUGCCUUUUGUAGAAUGAACCGGCGAGUUACGAUUGCAUGCGAGGUUAAGUCGAAGAGACGGAGCCGCAGCGAAAGCGAGUCUGAAUAGGGCGUUUGAGUAUGUAGUCGUAGACCCGAAACCAUGUGAUCUACCCAUGUCCAGGUUGAAGGUGCGGUAAAACGCACUGGAGGACCGAACCCACGUACGUUGAAAAGUGCGGGGAUGAGGUGUGGGUAGCGGAGAAAUUCCAAACGAACUUGGAGAUAGCUGGUUCUCUCCGAAAUAGCUUUAGGGCUAGCCUCGGAUUUGAGAAUGAUGGAGGUAGAGCACUGUUUGGACUAGGGGCCCAUCUCGGGUUACCGAAUUCAGAUAAACUCCGAAUGCCAUUCAUUCAUAUCCGGGAGUCAGACUGUGAGUGAUAAGAUCCAUAGUCGAAAGGGAAACAGCCCAGACCACCAGCUAAGGUCCCAAAAUAUAUGUUAAGUGGAAAAGGAUGUGGGGUUGCACAGACAACUAGGAUGUUGGCUCAGAAGCAGCCACCAUUUAAAGAGUGCGUAAUAGCUCACUAGUCGAGUGACCCUGCGCCGAAAAUGUACCGGGGCUAAACAUAUUACCGAAGCUGUGGAGUACACCAUUAGGUGUAUUGGUAGGAGAGCGUUCUAAGGGCGUUGAAGGCAGAUCGUGAGGACUGCUGGAGCGCUUAGAAGUGAGAAUGCCGGUAUGAGUAGCGAAAGACAGGUGAGAAUCCUGUCCACCGAAUGACUAAGGUUUCCUGGGGAAGGCUCGUCCGCCCAGGGUUAGUCGGGACCUAAGCCGAGGCCGACAGGCGUAGGCGAUGGACAACAGGUUGAUAUUCCUGUACUCGUUGUUUUUGUUUGAGCAAUGGAGGGACGCAGGAGGCUAAGGAAUGCAGACGAUCGGAAAUGUCUGUCCAAGCAGUAAGUCUUGAUAGGAGUCAAAUGCUUCUGUCUACACGGAUAAGCUGUGAUGGGGAGGGAAAUAAUAGUACCGAAGUUCCUGAUGUCACACUGCCAAGAAAAGCUUCUAGUGAGAAAACAAUGACCCGUACCGCAAACCGACACAGGUAGUCGAGGAGAGAAUCCUAAGGUGAGCGAGAGAACUCUCGUUAAGGAACUCGGCAAAAUGACCCCGUAACUUCGGGAGAAGGGGUGCUGAUCUUCGAUCAGCCGCAGUGAAUAGGCCCAAGCGACUGUUUAUCAAAAACACAGGUCUCUGCAAAAUCGUAAGAUGAAGUAUAGGGGCUGACGCCUGCCCGGUGCUGGAAGGUUAAGAGGAGUGCUUAGCGUAAGCGAAGGUACGAAUUGAAGCCCCAGUAAACGGCGGCCGUAACUAUAACGGUCCUAAGGUAGCGAAAUUCCUUGUCGGGUAAGUUCCGACCCGCACGAAAGGCGUAACGAUUUGGGCACUGUCUCAACGAGAGACUCGGUGAAAUUUUAGUACCUGUGAAGAUGCAGGUUACCCGCGACAGGACGGAAAGACCCCAUGGAGCUUUACUGUAGUUUGAUAUUGAGUGUCUGUACCGCAUGUACAGGAUAGGUAGGAGCCGUAGAAAUCGGAACGCUAGUUUCGAUGGAGGCGCUGGUGGGAUACUACCCCUGCGUUAUGGCCACUCUAACCCGCACCACUGAUCGUGGUGGGAGACAGUGUCAGAUGGGCAGUUUGACUGGGGCGGUCGCCUCCUAAAAGGUAACGGAGGCGCCCAAAGGUUCCCUCAGAAUGGUUGGAAAUCAUUCGAAGAGUGUAAAGGCAGAAGGGAGCUUGACUGCGAGACCAACAAGUCGAGCAGGGACGAAAGUCGGGCUUAGUGAUCCGGUGGUUCCGCAUGGAAGGGCCAUCGCUCAACGGAUAAAAGCUACCCUGGGGAUAACAGGCUUAUCUCCCCCAAGAGUCCACAUCGACGGGGAGGUUUGGCACCUCGAUGUCGGCUCGUCGCAUCCUGGGGCUGUAGUCGGUCCCAAGGGUUGGGCUGUUCGCCCAUUAAAGCGGCACGCGAGCUGGGUUCAGAACGUCGUGAGACAGUUCGGUCCCUAUCCGUCGCGGGCGUUGGAAAUUUGAGAGGAGCUGUCCUUAGUACGAGAGGACCGGGAUGGACUUACCGCUGGUGUACCAGUUGUUCUGCCAAGGGCAUUGCUGGGUAGCUAUGUAGGGAAGGGAUAAACGCUGAAAGCAUCUAAGUGUGAAGCCCACCUCAAGAUGAGAUUUCCCAUUUCUUUAAGAAAGUAAGAUCCCUGAGAGAUGAUCAGGUAGAUAGGUCAGGAGUGGAAGGCCAGUGAUGGUUGGAGCGGACUGAUACUAAUCGAUCGAGGACUUAACCAAA
rnacentral:rRNA from 1 species